GUUUACUACCAUACCACUCUGAACGUGCCCAUCUUGUCUGAUCUCAGAAGCUAAGCAAUAUCAAGCCUGGUUAGUACUUGGGUGGGAGAAAACAACUAAUGAAAUGGCAAGAGUAAAUC
rnacentral:rRNA from 1 species